ACGAACGCUGGCGGCGUGCCUCAUACAUGCAAGUAGAACGCUGAAGAGAGGAGCUUGCUCUUCUUGGAUGAGUUGCGAACGGGUGAGUAACGCGUAGGUAACCUGCCUUGUAGCGGGGGAUAACUAUUGGAAACGAUAGCUAAUACCGCAUAACAAUGGAUGACACAUGUCAUUUAUUUGAAAGGGGCAAUUGCUCCACUACAAGAUGGACCUGCGUUGUAUUAGCUAGUAGGUGAGGUAAUGGCUCACCUAGGCGACGAUACAUAGCCGACCUGAGAGGGUGAUCGGCCACACUGGGACUGAGACACGGCCCAGACUCCUACGGGAGGCAGCAGUAGGGAAUCUUCGGCAAUGGGGGCAACCCUGACCGAGCAACGCCGCGUGAGUGAAGAAGGGUUUCGGAUCGUAAAGCUCUGUUGUAAGUCAAGAACGGGUGUGAGAGUGGAAAGUUCACACUGUGACGGUAGCUUACCAGAAAGGGACGGCUAACUACGUG
rnacentral:rRNA from 1 species